GUGUGUGGGCUCAAGGCCCUGCUGUCUAGGCCAGCUGCAUCCCCGUGAGUGUGCGUCGGACCGGGGUCCUGGUUCGGGUUCGUGCCGUUUCAUAACAAUAAUUUAAAAAAAACAACCAAAAAAAAAAAAAAAGACCUUCGUGCCACCGCGCGAGGCGGAGGGGGAAGUUCCCAAAUUUCCCUGGGAGCUGCCGGGCCCGCUCCCGUGACGCGGCCGUGACGUCACCGCCCCCGCCCCUCCCCUCCCCGGCGCUGGCCAGGCGGCAGCGGGCGCGUCCCUCCGCCAGAGUCCACCCCGCGCGGCACGGAGCGAGCCUCACGAGCGCCACAGCCUCACAGCCUGCCCGCACGCGCGUCCACCCCCCGGGAGCAGCGAGCAGGGCGCGAGGCGGAGCCCGCGAGGAGAGCGAGGGAGAGAGCGAGCGAGCAGAGCGGAGCCUCGAGACGCCGGGAAGUCUUUGUGUUCCGGCCGCUUCUUCACUCGUCUGGAGGAACGAGGAAGCAGGAAGUUUCUGUUCGGCUGUCCCCGGAGUUUGGAUUCCCGCUGCUCUCGGAGCCGAGCCGAGCCGAGCCGAGCCGGACCGGACCGGACCGCACCGGCGCGAUGGCGAGACCGCUGUCCAGGGAGGGCGCGCUGACCGCGCUGGCCAGCCUGCUGCUUGUCCAAGUGGUGGGGUGCCAGUAC